rnacentral:tRNA from 1 species
AUCUCUGUAGUGUAAAUCCACGUAUCAUUUUCGUUGAUAAAAAGAGACAUAGUUUCCUGAGAUA